rnacentral:tRNA from 1 species
GGGCGAUUAGCUCAGUUGGUUCAGAGCGCCUGCCUUACACGCAGGAGGUCAUUGGUUCGAAUCCGAUAUCGCCCA